GACGACGGCUGGCGGCGUGCUUAACACAUGCAAGUCGAGCGAGGCCUUGGAAUUGGAGUCCUUCGGGAUGAAGAGUCCUUGGCCUAGCGGCGGACGGGUGAGUAACGCGUGGGCAACCUACCCCAAAGUCCGGGAUAACAGUGGGAAACCGCUGCUAAUACCGGAUGGCUUUACCUGAGGGCAUCCUCGGGUAAAGAAAGGUUACGCUUUGGGAUGGGCCCGCGUCCCAUUAGCUAGUUGGUGAGGUAACGGCUCACCAAGGCGACGAUGGGUAGCCGGCCUGAGAGGGUGAACGGCCACACUGGGACUGAGACACGGCCCAGACUCCUACGGGAGGCAGCAGUAGGGAAUAUUGCGCAAUGGGCGGAAGCCUGACGCAGCGACGCCGCGUGAGCGAAGAAGGCCUUCGGGUCGUAAAGCUCUGUCCUUGGGGAAGAAGGCGAAAGCUUGACGGUACCCAAGAAGAAAGCCCCGGCUAACUACGUG
rnacentral:rRNA from 1 species